rnacentral:rRNA from 1 species
AUUGAACGCUGGCGGCAUGCUUUACACAUGCAAGUCGAACGGUAACAGGUUAAGCUGACGAGUGGCGAACGGGUGAGUAAUGCAUCGGAACGUGCCCGAUCGUGGGGGAUAACGCAGCGAAAGCUGCGCUAAUACCGCAUACGAUCUGAGGAUGAAAGCGGGGGACCGUAAGGCCUCGCGCGAUCGGAGCGGCCGAUGGCAGAUUAGGUAGUUGGCGGGGUAAAGGCUCACCAAGCCGACGAUCUGUAGCUGGUCUGAGAGGACGACCAGCCACACUGGGAUGGAGACACGGCCCAGACUCCUACGGGAGGCAGCAGUGGGGAAUUUUGGACAAUGGGCGAAAGCCUGAUCCAGCAAUGCCGCGUGCAGGAAGAAGGCCUUCGGGUUGUAAACUGCUUUUGUACGGAGCGAAAAGGCUCUCUCUAAUACAGGGGGCUCAUGACGGUACCGUAAGAAUAAGCACCGGCUAACUACGUGCCAGCAGCCGCGGUAA